CACCGCGGUUAUACGAGAGGCCCGAGAUGACAGACCCUCGGCGUAAAGAGUGGUUAGAUUUGAUUGUAACUAUAGCCGAACUUUCUCAAAACUGUUAUACGCCCUUGAGGAAAGGAAUUUCUUCUACGAAAGUGGCUUUAUUCCAUUGAACCCACGAAAGCUAAGGCA
rnacentral:rRNA from 1 species